rnacentral:rRNA from 1 species
CCCCUAGUAACUGCGAGUGAAGCGGGAAAAGCUCAAAUUUAAAAUCUGGCGGUCUUUGGCCGUCCGAGUUGUAGUCUGGAGAAGUGCUUUCCGCGCUGGACCGUGUAUAAGUCUCUUGGAACAGAGCGUCAUAGAGGGUGAGAAUCCCGUCUUUGACACGGACUACCAGUGCUUUGUGAUGCGCUCUCAAAGAGUCGAGUUGUUUGGGAAUGCAGCUCAAAAUGGGUGGUGAAUUCCAUCUAAAGCUAAAUAUUGGCGAGAGACCGAUAGCGAACAAGUACCGUGAGGGAAAGAUGAAAAGCACUUUGGAAAGAGAGUUAAACAGUACGUGAAAUUGCUGAAAGGGAAACGCUUGAAGUCAGUCGCGUUAUCCGGAACUCAGCCUUGCUUUUGCUUGGUGCACUUUCCGGAUGACGGGUCAGCAUCGAUUUUGACCGUCGGAAAAGGGCUGGAGUAAUGUGGCACCUCCGGGUGUGUUAUAGACUCUGGUCGCAUACGGCGGUUGGGAUCGAGGAACGCAGCGCGCCGCAAGGCAGGGGUUCGCCCACUUUCGCGCUUAGGAUGCUGGCAUAAUGGCUUUAAACGACCCGUCUUGAAACACGGACCAAGGAGUCUAACAUACCUGCGAGUGUUUGGGUGGAAAACCCGAGCGCGUAAUGAAAGUGAAAGUUGAGACCCCUGUCGUGGGGGGCAUCGACGCCCGGACCUGACGUUCUCUGACGGAUCCGCGGUAGAGCAUGUAUGUUGGGACCCGAAAGAUGGUGAACUAUGCCUGAAUAGGGUGAAGCCAGAGGAAACUCUGGUGGAGGCUCGUAGCGAUUCUGACGUGCAAAUCGAUCGUCAAAUUUGGGUAUAGGGGCGAAAGACUAAUCGAAC